rnacentral:rRNA from 1 species
CCUACGGGAGGCAGCAGUAGGGAAUCUUCCACAAUGGACGAAAGUCUGAUGGAGCAACGCCGCGUGAGUGAAGAAGGGUUUCGGCUCGUAAAGCUCUGUUGGUAGUGAAGAAAGAUAGAGGUAGUAACUGGCCUUUAUUUGACGGUAAUUACUUAGAAAGUCACGGCUAACUACGUGCCAGCAGCCGCGGUAAUACGUAGGUGGCAAGCGUUGUCCGGAUUUAUUGGGCGUAAAGCGAGUGCAGGCGGUUCAUUAAGUCUGAUGUGAAAGCCUUCGGCUCAACCGGAGAAUUGCAUCAGAAACUAGUGAUCUUGAGUACGAGAGAGGCAGAUGGAAUUCGUAGUGUAGCGGUGAAAUGCGUAGAUAUCACACAGAACACCGAUUGCGAAGGCAUCUCACGAAUCCGCGAUUGACGCUGAUGCACGAAAGCGUGGGUAUCAAACAGGAUUAGAUACCCGAGUAGUC